GAGCUGUAAACUUUAAAAUUGGCCAGAACAUAGCUCAUAUUGCGAAAGGAAAUUCAACCCAAAUUUGAAGAGAAACAGCUAGAUAUUUUAAAAGUGAUUCCAGUAUUUGUGUUCUUUAAUAUUUAGUGAGUGCUGGUGAUGUUCGGGCACGUUAAACCAAAAUUCUUGCCCAGACACGUUGCCAUGUUGACUGGGACUGCCGUCAGUGGGACCUGGCUCAGCAGAACGGGGUGCUUUCUUAUCUUUCUUCCCAUCACCAAGCUCCCGUCCGCAGCAGCUCCUCUGCCCACAGACAACCAAAGGAAUGCUUGCUCCACUGUGGGGCUCCCAGGAGAAAAAACACAUCAGUCUAACCACUCCUCCUCCAGCAGCCUCCAAGUGCUCACUGCCUGGCUUAGAAAAGAUGUCUGCUCCUUCCAGCAAUGUGACUUCCUUCAUCUACGAUGCAAAAGUUAUGGUGCUCUGCUAAGCAUGAGAAUGUUAACCAGGCAGAUGCUGGAGUAGCAGAACAGCUCACAAGUCAAGAAAUACACCCUUCAUGAGGUUUACACUGGCAGGUACUCAUUGCUCUUAAAUGCAAAUAGCGAGGAUGUUGAUGAUGGUGACAAAGAUGAUGGUACUUUGCACCAUGUGGCACAUGGUGUGGAUUUGGGAGCUGAUGAUUGACACCACUGGCCAGCAGGCUACAAGCAACUGCAAGGCUUUUGCUGGCCGCUGUCCCCCCACAAUUGUCCCACUUGAUCCAGCUAUGACUUGGUGCCAGAAGAGGGCUGCUAGGUCAUUAAGUUUGCUGGCACUCUUAGAGUUUCAGUUAUGACCAUGCACCUUUUUCUCACUGGAAGCAUUUUGGCUAAAAGAAUAAAGAACUCACAUGUUCCAAAAGGAAGGGGUGUAUGUCCACUUGUCUUACCUACUGGAGAGUCGAUGCUUAUAGGAAUCUUUGCCAAAUAUGAUUUCCUUGGAACUUUCUUUUGUUUGAAGGUUUUUUUUUGUUUUGUUUUGUUUUUU
rnacentral:lncRNA from 1 species